rnacentral:lncRNA from 1 species
CUUUUUGAAAGCAAUAUUAUACUGACAGAGGCUCAAUGAGUGAUACUUUAAGUUAAAUAUGUAGAUCAGGGAUGUCCAAUCUUUUGGCUUCCCUGAGCCACAUUGGAAGAAGAAUUGUCUUGGGCCUCACAUAAAAUAUGCUAACACUGAUGACAGCUGAUGAGCUUAAAAAAAAAAUUGCAAGAAAAAUCUCAUGUUUUAAGAAAUUUACAAAUUUGUGUUGGGCUGCAUUCAAAGCUGUCCUGGGCUGCAUUCGACCCGUGGGCUAGAGUUGGACAAGCUUGUAGAUGAUUUCAGGUUAUAAAACCAGAAGUACAAUUCAACAAAAAAGGAGUAAGUCAUCAAUAUAAAUAUUAGCAAACGAGAUAUUGCUACAUCUCUAUUUAAAGUAAAAUACAACCGAUUUUAAAGUUCCUGAAACCA